rnacentral:rRNA from 1 species
CCCUUAGAUGUUCUGGGCAGCACGCGCGCUACAAUGGUCUUCGCAAACGGAUGCAUUCUCGAAGGAGAAUGCCAAUCUUGGAAUCUAUGCCUUGGUCGGGACAGUUGCUUGCAAUUUUUCGACUCGAACCAGGAAUUCCUUGUAAUCGUGAUUCAUCACAUCACGAUGAAUACGUCCCUGCCCUUUGUACACAACGCCCGUCGCUCCUACCGAUCGAAGAGUUAGGUGAAUUGUUUUGAUCGAUAAGAUUUGACUAUGGUCAACUCUCGUUGUGAAAUUCUGUGAAUCUGACUGUUUAGAGGAAGGAAAAGUCGUAACA